UUACGGCCAUAUCACGUUGAAACACCGGUUCACAUAUGAUCACUGAAGUUAAACAACGUCGAGACUGGUCAGUACUUACAUGAGUGACCGCUUGUGAAUAACAAAUG